CAAGCGUUGUCCGGACUCACUGGGCGUAGAGGGUGCGCAGGCGGUGCCGUGCGUCGGCGCUGAAAGCGCACGGCUUAACCGGGCGAGGUGCGGCGAUACGACGGCACUGGAGGCAGGUAGAGGUUGGCGGAAUUCCGGGUGUAGUGGUGAAAUGCGUAGAGAUCCGGAUGAACGUCGGUGGCGUAAGCGUCCAACUGGGCCUGACCUGACGCUGAGGCAACGAAAGCGUGGGGAGCGAACCGGAUUAGAUACCCGGGUAGUCCACGCCGUAAACGAUGUCGGCUCGGUGUGUGAUGCUAUUACGGGUGUCGCGUGCCCAAGCUCACGCGGUAAGCCGACCGCCUGGGGACUACGGCCGCAAGGCUAAAACUCAAAGGAAUUGACGGGGGCCCGCACAAACAGCGGAGCGUGUGGUUUAAUUCGACGCAACGCGAAGAACCUUACCCAGAUUUGACAUGCGACUGCAAGCGCACGGAAACGUGUGACCUUCGAGGGUGUCGCACAGGUGCUGCAUGGCUGUCGUCAGCUCGUGUCGUGAGAUGUUGGGUUAAGUCCCGCAACGAGCGCAACCCUCGCCGUCAGUUAUCAGUGUCUGGCGGGACUGCCGGCUGUAUGGUCGGAGGAAGGCGGGGAUGACGUCAAGUCCGCAUGGCCCGGACGUCUGGGGCGACACACACGCUACAAUGACCAGCACAGCACGCUGCAAACCCGCAAGGGGGAGCUAAUCGCCAAAGCUGGUCUCAGUGCAGAUCGGGGGCUGCAACUCGCCCCCGUGAAGGCGGAGUUGCUAGUAACCGCGUAUCAGCCAUGGCGCGGUGAAUACGUACCCGGGCCUUGUACACACCGCCCGUCACGUCAUGGGAGUUGGCAAUGCCUGAAGUCCGUGGCUCAACC
rnacentral:rRNA from 1 species